rnacentral:lncRNA from 1 species
GGGUCUCCCGUCCGUGCGGCGGGGGAGGCGUGUUACGGCGAAAGGAGGGAUUUUUGCGGAGAGGAAGGAGCGGGGAGUAACCCGCAGCUUCACAGGACUGGACGCCGGGAACCGUCAGCCUCCUCCCGUCUUUUCUUCUUUCUGGACCUGGCGGGACCUCUCGAUUGACAGUCGAGGGUCCGAACCGGCAGACAGACGCGCCGUGCGGGGACCGUAGACUACAAGGCGGGGGAGGCCAUGAUUCCUGCGGGCGGGCCGUGGAUCUGGGGCCUCGGCCGCCACCCAGACCCACGCCCAAUCCUUCGGCGCUUCUCGAAGCUCCCGCGGCAGUUUCGGUCUUUGGGGGCUGCCCCAGUUGAGAGCGCCUGCCGGAAGGGGCUGCCUCCCUGGAUGGGGGCAAAAUUCGCAUUUCUCCGCUAACUGUUCAAGGAGAAAAAGGAGAAAAUUUUUCUUUUUCAAUCACCCCUGUGGCAUGUGGAGGUUCCUGGGCCAGGGAUCGAAUCUGAGCUACAACUGCAGCAAUGCCAGAUCCUUAACCCCUGUGCCAGACCAGAAAUUAAACCUGUGCCCCAGAGCUCCAGAGACGCCAACGAUCCCAUUGUGCCACCGUGGGAACCCCAAGCACUUGCUUUUCUACGUUUGAGUAGCGGUAAAAGUCCCCUUCCGUCCAGGAACCUUCCCGGGAAUGACAAAUAACAGCAGGAAAGCACGGUUGUGCCACUUUGUAUUCUUGCAACAGUUCCACCUCAGAGAGCAAUGAAAGCUACAACUACAAUGUACGGAACAGGAACUCAGGACCGUACAUUGUGUUUCACAACUGUUGCUGCCUUUGGUCUCACACUUGAUUGUCUCCAGCUCAGGCUUCAGGAUGAGAAGCUUGAAUCUGGAGGUGCUGACUUUUCCCCUCAUCGCAGUGUUCCUGAGACCAUCCAAGCUGUUGCGUGUAUCAGUACAUCUUUCCUUGUCUUCCCUGACUCAUAGUCCAUGCUCAGGAUGUACCACAGUUUGUUCAAGCAAGAGGGACAUUUUGGCUUGCUCCCAAGUUUUUGUCUGUUGCAAAUAAAGUUUCUGUGA